rnacentral:lncRNA from 1 species
CCGUAAGCAUGCUCUCUACGAAUCAAGGACAGCCCAACAAUGGCCCAACUCACUUGCUUAGACGAAUGGCCCAUAGUAGAGUGGCAGUUCCUAUCGUUCUUCGGUUCAGCUUCUCUUUCUGCACUACAGCGCAAUACUUUCAAAUUUCUGCAAUUAAUCGAAAACUUCAUCCAACAAAUAUGAAUCCACUUUUUCGAUUCAUUUUUGCUUCAUGAUCUAACUUAUAAAUUCAAUUGCAGAAAAUGAACUAGAUUGGGGAGAUUCAUCAAAAAAUGAAAAGACUCUGAUCCUAACCCUCAAGAUUAAUUUUGCACUCGGACGUUCAGUCGAAUUCUCUCCGGAUGAGGUUGAAAUUUCCUUCCUUUUGCUCUUCAGAGACCUCUCCAACCUUUUCUCUAAUGGCAGGUGGGUUUCCUUUCAUUUAUAUAUGUAUCAUUACACGUGUUAUUCAUAUAAAUUAAUAUUUUAUUUGGAAAAUGAUGAUUUUAGGAGAGAAAAAAUCGCCGAUCAGGCGUAGAGAUAGGGCUGCCAUCGUUGUUCUCGGCGACAUUGGGCGUAGCCCGCGUAUGCAGUACCACGCUCUUUCCCUUGCACGUCAGGUACACGUCCCACGACUGAAAAUUUAGUUUAUAUGCGUUUUGGAGUUUUGAAUUUGAAGAUUGGUGUGGUCACUCAUGACUAACUUGCUUUUGUUUGAAUAUUGUUGGGUUUUUGAUACCAAAUAAUCCCGGACGAUGAUUUUAAACAGUGUCGGAUAGUCGGAUUAGAUUUCAUAGGUUUUGGCCGAUGAUUGAAAUAUUUAUUAACACACUCGAUUAAUUGGCUCA